rnacentral:rRNA from 1 species
UACGUAGGGUGCGAGCGUUGUCCGGAAUUAUUGGGCGUAAAGGGCUCGUAGGCGGUUUGUCGCGUCGGGAGUGAAAAAUCCAGGGCUUAACUCUGGACUGGCUUCCGAUACGGGCAGACUAGAGGUAUGCAGGGGAGAACGGAAUUCCUGGUGUAGCGGUGAAAUGCGCAGAUAUCAGGAGGAACACCCGUGGCGAAAGCGGCUCUCUGGGACGGUACUGACGCUGAGACGCGAAAGCGUGGGGAGCAAACAGG